UGGGGAAUCUUGCACAAUGGAGGAAACUCUGAUGCAGCGACGCCGCGUGAGCGAUGAAGCCCUUCGGGGUGUAAAGCUCUUUCGACGGGAACGAUAAUGACGGUACCCGGAGAAGAAGCUGCGGCUAACUACGUGCCAGCAGCCGCGGUAAUACGUAGGCAGCAAGCGUUGUUCGGAAUUACUGGGCGUAAAGAGUGUGUAGGCGGUGCUCUAAGUUCGGUGUGAAAUCUCCUGGCUUAACUGGGAGGGUGCGCCGGAAACUGGAAUGCUCGAGCGUGGGAGAGGAAAGCGGAAUUCCUGGUGUAGCGGUGGAAUGCGUAGAUAUCAGGAGGAACACCUGUGGUGUAGACAGCUUUCUGGACCAUUGCUGACGCUGAGACACGAAAGCGUGGGUAGCAAACAG
rnacentral:rRNA from 1 species